rfam:Ictidomys tridecemlineatus contig096679, whole genome shotgun sequence.
GGGAAUGUGGCUCAGUGGUACAGCAGCUGCCUGGCAUGCAUGAGGCCCUGGGUUUGAUCCCCAGCACCA